rnacentral:rRNA from 1 species
GGAGGGUGCGAGCGUUAUCCGGAAUUACUGGGUUUAAAGGGUGCGUAGGCGGCUAUGUAAGUCAGAUAGUGAAAGUUUGCGGCUCAACCGUAAAAUUGCUUUUGAUACUGCAUGGCUAGAAUCAGGAUGAGGUUAGCGGAAUGUGGUAUGUAGCGGUGAAAUGCAUAGAUAUGCCAUAGAACACCAAUUGCGAAGGCAGCUGGCUAGACCUGUAUUGACGCUGAGGCACGAAAGCGUGGGGAUCGAACAGGAUUAGAUACCCUGGUAGUCCACGCCCUAAACGAUGCUCACUCGACGUAUGGCCCUUGAGGUUGUGCGUCCAAGGGAAACCGUUAAGUGAGCCACCUGGGGAGUACGACCGCAAGGUUG